UAUCCACACGAGGAAGGCGCUGCUUCGCGUUCUCAUGAAAAAGUGGUAGUGUUAAAUCAAGUUUGCAAGCAGAAGGACGCGUCGAUGCGUGCUCGUUUUUUUUCUCUCGUGAAACCACUACGGAAAAACUAUUUGAAAUCGUAACACAUGCACGAACUGAAGUGAGCACGGACCACGAUAGAAACAAUAUUCAAUUGGUUGGAGUGCCGAAAACAACAGAACAGGAGAGGAAAGAAGGCCGCUUUAGAUGUAGUGCUUGCUGUUCUGAUUACCUCUGGCCAUUUAGAAAAUGCGUCGACUGCAAUUAGAUAAGAGUACCCGUCGAUGGGACCCGCAUAAUCGACAUGGAUGCGUUGCCAUGGUGCGGUUACCUCAGGCCAUGGUUCCGGGCUAGAAUGUAGCGGCGAUUUUGCUGCGAAUGAGCAUGCAUUACAGUUUGCCACGAGACCAGUAAUAUCGCUAUCAAUCUUGGACCAGUACACGUAGCUUCUUGCCAAUGAUUUCAUCCUUUGUACUCCUGGAUGUCCGUUGUGUAAUUGGCAUGUCAUCACACAAUCUUAAAAAAGGGUAACCGGAAGUCAUGGACCAACCAGCCACUGGAGAAAGCAUACAAAUCUGCGAAGAACGGAUUUUCUGUUAAAAAGCAGCCAUUCAUUAUGCUGUUACUCGCACGACGCUGAUGAUGCACCUCACGACUAGAUACAGGAGAUUUCAGGGGUUUUCCUAAUUUUGGCAAACUCUCUUGAAUAUGUUAUACGGCAAAUGUACUUUAUGUGACAAUAAAACUAAGGAGCAACGAUCGGACUGCAGAAACGACGCCACUUCAACCAUCAGUGCCAGUGUGGGAACCCAGUCACCAGGGCGGAAUGAAGGCAGAGGCCCGAAACCAAAAUGCAAAAUGCCAAUGUACAGGCGAUGUGUGAUUGGGUAACCUUAAAAUUGCUAAAGGGGACAAAAGUUAUCAGUUCUGUUCAAAAAUUGGGAUCGCCCACUAAAUCUACACCGUUAAAUUCGACACGACCGCAACUUCAUGAGAAAUGAAUAACAAAAGACGAGUGCAAGAUAGAACGAAUAGGCACACCAUACCCGAAAUGUGCAAGAACUGAUAUCGGUGAACGUUAGUAUUGCACCAGUGCGAAUGAGAAGUAUAGUACAUAUAUUGCGUACCAUAUGUGAGAAACGAAAAAUGUUGUCCUUACACAUUGGUGUGAUGUUGAUGGCCUGUGGUAAGUUGGGAAUUUUAAAUGCAGAUACAUAAUUAAUAUCAAUUGAUCAAAAACUAAUAUAAACCUUGUCAAUUUUUAACAAUGCAUAAGCAGGUACAGGUUUUUGAAGGAAACAAGACAUAAGUAAUUGCAGUACCCUUUCACUAGUUCGCACUUGACUAAAAGAGGAUUACAGCAUGUGUAAAAAACUUAUAUUAAAAAAAUGAUUGACAUUUAUCCUGCUUUCACCCGGAAAGAAAUGUCACCAAAGAUUAUUUUAUUUCAAAAAGGAACUAUCGAACUGCAUAUAUUUAUGUUCCAAGAUCCCUUACACACACGUUUAUUGUCUUACGUUGGCGUAAAUGUAAGAAAAGUUAUUUCUUAAAUAAUUUCCUUGUAUCACUUUUUGGUAUUAUAAACAUAAAAUAAUGAGAUACAAACCUGAAUAAAAAGAUCUCGAACACAGGAUUGUUUAGGCUUUACAACGCAACGAUUUUUAACUUAUUAAAUCAGGUGGAGCAGUUAAAACAGUUUGUAGCAACCUUGAUCCCAUAAUAAUUGGGAAUUAUUAUAGCUAGGUUGGGUUUAUAGAUUAUGAUAGUUUAGGGAUAGGAUUAGGGUAGUUUACAAGAAUUGAAGGAAGUAAGAAUAAAGCCCUUAUUUUGGUAACGACACAGCCAUGAGACUAAGCUCCGUGAACCCGCUACAUUCGAUUGUGGCAAAAGAGCGAAGCGGAAGCGAUAUUCGAAACCGCUCGCAUUGUCAGAGACCAAACCAAAUACAUAUGUAGCAUAUCUGCUAUACAGAACAUAUUGUAAUACACACUAUCAGCCAUAGACACAUAGCAACACACUUUG